UACGGAGGGUGCAAGCGUUGUCCGGAUUUAUUGGGUUUAAAGGGUGCGUAGGCGGCCGACUAAGUCAGUGGUGAAAGGCAGCAGCUCAACUGUUUGCACGGCCAUUGAUACUGGUUAGCUUGAGUACAGUCGAGGUAGGCGGAAUUGAAGGUGUAGCGGUGAAAUGCAUAGAUAUCUUCAAGAACACCUAUUGCGAAGGCAGCUUACUAGGCUGUAACUGACGCUGAUGCACGAAAGCGUGGGGAUCGAACAGGAUUAGAUACCCUGGUAGUCCACGCCGUAAACGAUGAUCACUCGCUGUUAGCGAUAUACUGUUAGCGGCUAAGCGAAAGCAAUAAGUGAUCCACCUGGGGAGUACGCUCGCAAGAGUGAA
rnacentral:rRNA from 1 species